UACAGAGGUCUCAAGCGUUGUUCGGAAUCACUGGGCGUAAAGGGUGCGUAGGCCGCACGGUAAGUCAGAGGUGAAAUCCCGGAGCUCAACUUCGGAAUUGCCUCCGAUACUGCCGUGCUUGAGGACUGGAGAGGAGAUUGGAAUUCACAGUGGAGCAGUGAAAUGCGUAGAUAUCAGGAGGAAUACCGAUGGCGAAGGCAGGUCUCUGGGCUGACACUGACGCUCAUGCACGAAAGCGUGGGGAGCAAACAGG
rnacentral:rRNA from 1 species